rnacentral:rRNA from 1 species
AUACGGAGGAUCCGAGCGUUAUCCGGAUUUAUUGGGUUUAAAGGGUGCGCAGGCGGCCAUUUAAGUCAGCGGUUAAAUCGUGGGGCUCAACCCUAUUCUGCCGUUGAUACUGGGUGGCUUGAUUGCGGUCGAGGUUGGCGGAAUUCGUUGUGUAGCGGUGAAAUGCAUAGAUAUGACGAAGAACACCGAUUGCGUAGGCAGCUGACCAGACCGCAAAUGACGCUCAUGCACGAAAGUGCGGGGAUCGAACAGGAUUAGAUACCCUGGUAGUCCGCACAGUAAACGAUGAAUACUUGUUUUCGGCGAUAUAAUGUCGGAGGCAAAGCGAAAGCGAUAAGUAUUCCACCUGGGGAGUACGCCGGCAACGGUGAAACUCAAAGGAAUUGGCGGGG